GAGCACGAUCAUACCAGCACUAAUGCACCGGAUCCCAUCAGAACUCCGAAGUUAAGCGUGCUUGGGCAAGAGUAGUACUAGGAUGGGUGACCGUCCUUGUGUUGCACCCC
rnacentral:rRNA from 1 species